rnacentral:rRNA from 1 species
UACAGAGGUCUCAAGCGUUGUUCGGAUUCAUUGGGCGUAAAGGGUGCGUAGGUGGCGCCGUAAGUCGGGGUGUGAAAGCCCUGGGCUCAACCUAGGAAGUGCAUUCGAAAACUGCAGAGCUUGAGUUCUGGAGAGGAAGGCGGAAUUCUCGGUGUAGAGGUGAAAUUCGUAGAUAUCGAGAGGAACAUCGGUGGCGAAGGCGGCUUU